GAACAGCUGAGGUCUCGGUGAACAGCUGAAGUCUCGGUGAACAGCUGAGGUCUCGGUGAACAGCUGAGGUCUUGGUGAACAGCUGAGGUCUUGGUGAACAGCUGAGGUCUCGGUGAACAGCGGAGGUCUCGGUGAACAGCUGAGGUCUCGGUGAACAGCUGAGGUCUCGGUGAACAGCUGAGGUCUUGGUGAACAGCUGAGGUCUCGGUGAACAGCUGAGGUCUUGGUGAACAGCUGAGGUCUCGGUGAACAGCUGAGGUCUUGGUGAACAGCUGAGGUCUCGGUGAACAGCUGAGGUCUUGGUGAACAGCUGAGGUCUUGGUGAACAGCUGAGGUCUCGGUGAACAGCUGAGGUCUCGGUGAACAGCUGAGGUCUCGGUGAACAGCGGAGGUCUCGGUGAACAGCUGAGGUCUCGGUGAACAGCUGAGGUCUCGGUGAACAGCUGAGGUCUCGGUGAACAGCUGAGGUCUUGGUGAACAGCUGAGGUCUUGGUGAACAGCUGAGGUCUCGGUGAACAGCGGAGGUCUCGGUGAACAGCUGAGGUCUCGGUGAACAGCUGAGGUCUCGGUGAACAGCUGAGGUCUUGGUGAACAGCUGAGGUCUCGGUGAACAGCUGAGGUCUUGGUG